GUCUAUGGCCACACCGCCCUAAACACACCCAGUCCCAUCUGAUCUUGGAGGUGAAGCAAAGUCGAGCCCUGUUAGUACUUGGGUGGGAGAUGAUCUGGUACACAGGAAAGAGGAAAGGAAACUCACGUCU
rnacentral:rRNA from 1 species